rnacentral:rRNA from 1 species
CGGCACGGGUGAGUAACACGUAUCCAACCUGCCGUCUACUCUUGGACAGCCUUCUGAAAGGAAGAUUAAUACAAGAUGGCAUCAUGAGUCCACAUGUUCACAUGAUUAAAGGUAUUCCGGUAGACGAUGGGGAUGCGUUCCAUUAGAUAGUAGGCGGGGUAACGGCCCACCUAGUCUUCGAUGGAUAGGGGUUCUGAAAGGAAGGUCCCCCACAUUGGAACUGAGACACGGUCCAA